GGGGAUUUAGCUUAAUGGCAUAAGCACCCGCUUGGUAAGCGUGAGGUCAUGAGUUCAAUCCCUG
rnacentral:tRNA from 1 species